rnacentral:rRNA from 1 species
AUUGAACGCUGGCGGCAUGCCUUACACAUGCAAAUCGAACGGUAACGGGCCUUCGGGUGCCGACGAGUGGCGAACGGGUGAGUAAUACAUCGGAACGUGCCCGAUCGUGGGGGAUAACGAGGCGAAAGCUUUGCUAAUACCGCAUACGAUCUACGGAUGAAAGCAGGGGACCGCAAGGCCUUGCGCGGACGGAGCGGCCGAUGGCAGAGUAGGUAGUUGGUGGGAUAAAAGCUUACCAAGCCGACGAUCUGUAGCUGGUCUGAGAGGAUGAUCAGCCACACUGGGACUGAGACACGGCCCAGACUCCUACGGGAGGCAGCAGUGGGGAAUUUUGGACAAUGGGCGCAAGCCUGAUCCAGCCAUGCCGCGUGCAGGAUGAAGGCCUUCGGGUUGUAAACUGAUUUUGUACGGAACGAAAAGCCUUCUUUUAAUACAGGAGGGUCAUGACGGUACCGGAAGAAUAAGCACCGGCUAACUACGUG